rnacentral:rRNA from 1 species
ACAAGCAGCGGAGCAUGUGGUUUAAUUCGAAGCAAUGCGAAGAACCUUACCAGAUCUUGACAUCCAAUUGACCAUCUUUUAAUCGAGAUUUUGCCUUCGGGUACAAUUGAGACAGGUGGUGCAUGGUUGUCGUCAGCUCGUGUCGUGAGAUGUUGGGUUAAGUCCCACAACGAGCGCAACCCUUGUGUUUAGUUGCAAACAGGUCAAGCUGUGCACUCUAGACAGACUGCCGUGGACAACACGGAGGAAGGUGGGGAUGACGUCAAAUCAUCAUGCCCCUUAUGAUCUGGGCUACACACGUGCUACAAUGGCCGGUACAACGGGCAGCGAAGGAGCGAUCCGGAGCGAAUCCUAAAAAGCCGGUCCCAGUUCGGAUUGCAGGCUGAAACUCGCCUACAUGAAGUUGGAGUUGCUAGUAAUCGCGAAUCAGAAUGUCGCGGUGAAUGCGUUCCCGGGUCUU